GCGGCUUAAUUUGACUCAACACGGGAAAACUCACCCGGGCCGGACACUGUGAGGAUUGACAGAUUGAGAGCUCUUUCUUGAUUUGGUGGUUGGUGGUGCAUGGCCGUUCUUAGUUGGUGGAGCGAUUUGUCUGGUUAAUUCCGAUAACGAACGAGACUCCAGCCUGCUAAUUAGUGCGUUCGUCCACUGCGCCCGCGUGGGUGACGC
rnacentral:rRNA from 1 species